rnacentral:rRNA from 1 species
UGGCUCAUUAAAUCAGUUAUCGUUUAUUUGAUAGUACCUUACUACUUGGAUAACCGUGGUAAUUCUAGAGCUAAUACAUGCUAAAAACCCCGACUUCGGAAGGGGUGUAUUUAUUAGAUAAAAAACCAAUGCCCUUCGGGGCUCCUUGGUGAUUCAUAAUAACUUAACGAAUCGCAUGGCCUUGUGCCGGCGAUGGUUCAUUCAAAUUUCUGCCCUAUCAACUUUCGAUGGUAGGAUAGUGGCCUACCAUGGUUUCAACGGGUAACGGGGAAUUAGGGUUCUAUUCCGGAGAGGGAGCCUGAGAAACGGCUACCACAUCCAAGGAAGGCAGCAGGCGCGCAAAUUACCCAAUCCCGACACGGGGAGGUAGUGACAAUAAAUACUGAUACAGGGCUCUUUUGGGUCUUGUAAUUGGAAUGAGUACAAUUUAAAUCCCUUAACGAGGAACAAUUGGAGGGCAAGUCUGGUGCCAGCAGCCGCGGUAAUUCCAGCUCCAAUAGCGUAUAUUAAAGUUGUUGCAGUUAAAAAGCUCGUAGUUGAACCUUGGGCCUGGCUGGCCGGUCCGCCUCACCGCGUGCACUGGUCCGGCCGGGUCUUUCCUUCUGGGGAGCCGCAUGCCCUUCACUGGGUGUGUCGGGGAACCAGGACUUUUACUUUGAAAAAAUUAGAGUGUUCAAAGCAGGCCUAUGCUCGAAUACAUUAGCAUGGAAUAAUAGAAUAGGACGUGUGGUUCUAUUUUGUUGGUUUCUAGGACCGCCGUAAUGAUUAAUAGGGAUAGU